GAAAAAAGUCACACACACAGACAUUUAAAGCAAUACUUCACAUGCGAGGUAAUCCGGGUCUCUGCCAAGAUUUUCACUGCCAGUUACAGCGCAUAUUGUCUAGCAGGCAGACUACGACUCAGAUGUUGUGAAGGCGAAGGAGGAGGAGGAAGGGGGAUUCUGCUGUGAUCCAGUUUACUAUUUUGGCUGGGGCUUUCUUCUCUCUGUGUGGUCAUGGGGGAGAUCGGCGCAGCCAGCAGGCAUUGAGGACACUAGCUGGCCACAGCCCGACACAGAACCCACAUGGCCAGAAAGAGAAGGAGACAGAGUUAAGAGAGGGAGACAUGCAAGAAGGGCCAAGCAGAGCUAUAGGACAGACACAGCUACCCUCCUGGACGUUUCCUUUCUGCCGGCCUGCCCCAACAAAGGAGCCCGGGCGAGGCCCCCUCUUCACUGCACCACAGCACAGCUGCAGUCUGCCUCUCCAUCUCUGCUCUUCAGCCUUCCUCUACUCACUGACACUCAUGAGACAGGCUCAAGCCCAAAAAAAAAUUGCCUGAAACAGAGGCAAGAAGUAGAGGAAGAGGAAUGGACAAAGAAAUGGAGCGUGGCAGAAUACAUAUAAUAUGGGGAAUGAAGAGACGGAGAGACAGGAGAGAUAAAGAGGGAUGAUCCACUGACAGUUGACGCAAGGAGGAGACAGAAGCGACAGAGACGGAGGAUGACAGAGGAAUAGAGGGAGAGCGGCAGACAGGGAGAAGUGGCAUAUUAGGAGGAUUAGAGAGUCAAUUCAAUGCGCCGACUCUCUCCUGGACAGGAUUUCCCCAGCUAUGCCUGGGAGGCCUCCCCUGCUUUAAACACACAGGCAAGUCAGGACAGAGAGAGAGGUGAAGUAGGGGAGGAAAAGUGAAAGAGGGAGGGGGAAUCUUUAUCUUUUCAAGGGUGUUUGUGAACUAGUUUUGAUUUGCAUAAUGAACUAAUAAAUUCUUGCCCUUAAACAGAGAACCAGUGUAUCCCCCUAAGACUUGUCAGAAAUGAGAGUAACAAAAAUAACACUUUUCAUUUUCUCCAACAUCUUGUUUUACAAAUGAAUAACAAGUUUGAUGAAGAAAACUAUUCAAACAGCACUACUGGCGUUAUUCCCUGCUUGACAAACUUUUUGAAAACUCUCCUUUCAACUAAAGAGCUGUGACUGUUGCCUUUACGAGUUAAGGACAUAUGUCUACACAAGGAGGACGAGGAGGGGGGCAGGGGAUGGUAGGCAAGGGCCAAAAGUCUGCUAUGGGAAAAGUAUGUCUGCUAUGCAUGGGUUGUUUGGUGGCGGGAUUUGUGGGCCAGAGCAUUGUUUCUCUCUUGACAUUGAACUUGGGAAAGAGGGGGGAGACCACCCUCCUGAACAUUAUAAGUGUGUAUAUGUGCGAGAACACACACAGGCUAACAAUUCAUCUGCUCCCAACACCCACCCAACCACCCCCACUUCCUUGCGACUCUGCUUUAUCUUAACUGUCAACACCUGGCCUAAGCAGGAACCUCUCUCUAUCUGUGAACUUUAAUCUGGCCCUGCUAGGCAAACAGCGUCGGGCUCGGACAAGGAGAGCGAUUAGUUUGUCACGUUGCCCUCCAGUGCUUAAGCAGGGAGAGAAGGAAAUAGGGAAGGGAGAGGUCGGAAGAAAAGAGAGAGAUUGGGACAUACGAGGAUAUAUAAAGUUAGAUACAGCAUAAUGAAAAAAUUAGACAUAACGCAUGAAGGAGAAAAAGAGACACAAAGACAGAGCAAAGGCUGAGAGAAUGGGGUAGUAGGAAGAAGAAAAAAGACAUGGGGAGGCAAGACAGGGAGAGAAACAGGAAGAGAUGGGAGGGUUGCUGGAGAUAUAACACAGACGCUUAGCUGACCUGACAAGGCCACAGACCAGCGAUAUGGUGGUGAACUUCCACCCCCCCAUGAUGGGUGACUCAAGCUGAUCAAACACACCUGGGUGCACUACAUCCAAACAAAUAUGCUCACAGUGCACUUAAGUACAAUGUAGCAUUUAUUAAAUGGUCUGUGUAUUUAUGUGUG